rnacentral:tRNA from 1 species
UCUAAAAUGGCAGAUUAGUGCAAUAGAUUUAAACCCUAUAUAUAAAUUAAAUAUUUUUUUAGAA